GUACCGUGAGGGAAAGGUGAAAAGCACCCCGGAAGGGGAGUGAAACAGUUCCUGAAACCGUGUGCCUACAAUUAGUCAAAGCCCGUUAAUGGGUAAUGGCGUGCCUUUUGUAGAAUGAACCGGCGAGUUACGUUUGCUUGCGAGGUUAAGAUGAAAAGUCGGAGCCGUAGCGAAAGCGAGUCUGAACAGGGCGAAUGAGUAAGCAGAUGUAGACCCGAAACCAAGUGACCUACCCAUGACCAGGUUGAAGGUGUGGUGAAACACACUGGAGGACCGAACCCAUGUAUGUUGAAAAAUGCUGGGAUGAGUUGUGGGUAGCGGUGAAAUUCCAAACGAACUUGGAGAUAGCUGGUUCUCUCCGAAAUAGCUUUAGGGUUAGCCUCGGAGGAUGGAUCAUGGAGGUAGAGCACUGUUUGAACUAGGGGCCCAUCAAGGGUUACUGAAUUCAGAUAAACUCCGAAUACCAUCGAUCUUACUCCGGGAGUCAGACAGUGAGCGAUAAGGUCCAUUGUCGAAAGGGGAACAGCCCAGAUCACCAGUUAAGGUCCCUAAAUUUAUGCUAAGUGGAAAAGGAUGUGGCGUUGCACAGACAACUAGGAUGUUGGCUCAGAAGCAGCCACCAUUUAAAGAGUGCGUAAUAGCUCACUAGUCGAGUGGCACUGCGCCGAAAAUAUACCGGGGCUAAGCAUAAUACCGAAACUGUGGGUGCACCCGU
rnacentral:rRNA from 2 species